AAAAAGUUGGGGGGAGCGUGGAGGAGAGGGACAAGAAACUUAAAAAUCAAGAGAGGAGUGUCACACGAAGGCAGCGCUGGAGAGCCCGGCUGAGGGACGGAGCGCGGCGAGGUGUCCGCGCCGGGGACCGGGCAUGAAUUCUCCAUGCCCAGAAUUUCUGAAGAGGAAUAUUUCGAGCCCGGCCGAAGUAAGAAGUUCUAGAUAACGCGGCGGUUUUCCGCAGCUCCUGUCGGUGCCCGUCAGUAAGUGUUGCCUUCCGCACAUCGCCCGCACCGCCCUGCGAGCCCGUGCUCCCCCGGACCGCAUCUCCCCGUUGUUCUGCUGAGCUACUUCCCCAGAGAUCACAGCUCCUUUUUGAAAAGAACCCUUGUAAUGUGUCUUCACGUGCCAUGGAACGGACUGGGACGUCAUGAGUCAGAUACAUCAGAUGGGAUAUCAAAUAAUGCAGCAGCAUUUUCUGUAAGCUUUAGGAGUGGAUUAUUUUAGAUGGAAAGGUAAAAUAGAAUGAAGGCACUACAUACAAGCCAACUGCUAUUAAUUAAACUGUUGUUUCUUGAUAAGCAAAGCAGAAUGUUCUUCCUCUGGAAAUUGGAGGAACCCAGUCAAAUAACCACUCCAUUUGUAGAGGCAAACAGUCUACAGAGAUAGUUUUUUCUGCCAAACACCUUAGCACAGGUUAUUAUAAAAAUUGUCACAUUUGAUUUGAGGCCUCAGGUGCGACUCCAAAACAAAGGACGAGUUUCUAACUUGUGAUGGAUGGUACCAAUCACUGUGUGACUCAGGCUGUUCCUAUGGUUUCACACACAGUAUGCAGCACAGUGCAUAUUCUGGGUUGUAUCAGAGUGUGUGGGCAGGCAUUUCUCUUCAGGAUCUGGUCCAGAAUUGUUUGUUUGCAGUAGUUUAUGGCUUGGCUCAUCUAUUAUGGUCUUGUGAUUGCUGCCCCCGGCCUCCAAAGAUUUUUUUCAGAGAUGUGUCAGGACUUGGCACCCAAUUUUUCAUUUGUUUUUAAAAAAACUAUCUCUGCUUCAGUUUCUUGUGCUUCUUACCCUCAGACGAUGCCUGGCUCUGGCAGGAGAAUGCUCGACCGACACAGUGCUAGAAAACAGUGUGUGUGUGCAAGUGUGAUACGCACACAUAUACAAAAGAAAUCUCAUCUCUAGGAGCAUUCUCUACAGGCCCACAGAGGCUUUUUUCAAACAGGAGCACACUGCAGACACUGGCUGGAUGCAGUUGUAAGGGGUGUGAUGUUAGCCAGAAACAGUGUGCCCCAGUUCCUUUCUUCUUCAUUGCUUUCAGUGUUUCCAAUAUC